AAACCAUGGUGGGGGCAGAGGGCAUGCAAUUCUUUGUACGUUUCCCACACUUGAUAUAAAGUUCCACUCUCCUUUCGAGUAAAAGAAGAUAUUUGCUUUUUCAAUGC
rnacentral:snoRNA from 1 species